rnacentral:rRNA from 1 species
GAUGAACGCUGGCGGCGUGCUUAACACAUGCAAGUCGAACGGAAAGGCUCCUGCUUGCAGGGGUACUCGAGUGGCGAACGGGUGAGUAACACGUGGGUGAUCUGCCCCGCACUUCGGGAUAAGCCUGGGAAACUGGGUCUAAUACCGGAUAGGACCAUCGUUUAGUGUCGGUGGUGGAAAGUUUUUUCGGUGUGGGAUGAGCUCGCGGCCUAUCAGCUUGUUGGUGGGGUAAUGGCCUACCAAGGCGUCGACGGGUAGCCGGCCUGAGAGGGUGUACGGCCACAUUGGGACUGAGAUACGGCCCAGACUCCUACGGGAGGCAGCAGUGGGGAAUAUUGCACAAUGGGCGCAAGCCUGAUGCAGCGACGCCGCGUGGGGGAUGACGGCCUUCGGGUUGUAAACUCCUUUCGCCAGGGACGAAGCGAAAGUGACGGUACCUGGAUAAGAAGCACCGGCUAACUACGUG